UACGUAGGGUGCUAGCGUUGUCCGGAAUUACUGGGCGUAAAGAGCUCGUAGGUGGUUUGUCGCGUUGUUCGUGAAAACUCACAGCUUAACUGUGGGCGUGCGGGCGAUACGGGCAGACUGGAGUACUGCAGGGGAGACUGGAAUUCCUGGUGUAGCGGUGGAAUGCGCAGAUAUCAGGAGGAACACCGGUGGCGAAGGCGGGUCUCUGGGCAGUAACUGACGCUGAGGAGCGAAAGCGUGGGGAGCGAACAGG
rnacentral:rRNA from 1 species